AACGAACGCUGGCGGCAGGCUUAACACAUGCAAGUCGAACGGCUGUAGCAAUACAGCAGUGGCAGACGGGUGAGUAACACGUGGGAACCUUCCUAGGGGUACGGAACAACUCAGGGAAACUUGAGCUAAUACCGUAUACGUCCGUGAGGAGAAAGAUUUAUCGCCCUUAGACGGGCCCGCGUCGGAUUAGGUAGUUGGUGGGGUAACGGCCUACCAAGCCUACGAUCCGUAGCUGAUCUGAGAGGAUGAUCAGCCACACUGGGACUGAGACACGGCCCAGACUCCUACGGGAGGCAGCAGUGGGGAAUCUUGGACAAUGGGCGCAAGCCUGAUCCAGCCAUGCCGCGUGAGUGAAGAAGGCCUUAGGGUUGUAAAGCUCUUUUGCCAGGGACGAUAAUGACGGUACCUGGAGAAUAAGCCCCGGCAAACUUCGUGCCAGCCGCCGCCGCGGUAA
rnacentral:rRNA from 1 species